ensembl:lncRNA
AUGCAGUCUUUCUCAGAUGUUGGUUUGGUGGCUCUAACAGCCCGUUUUUUUUUCCGGCACGGCCUCUAAAAGCUGCUGCUGUGCGCACUGAGCUCCGUAUAUCUGGGUCAGGGUCUGUUAAUGUAGGUGACAGGGGGAUCUGGGGAUUAAAACCUCUUCAUCUGCCUUUGCAUAAAUCCUGCUUUAUAGCCUACACUUCAGCUUUAGCUAAUAUGCUUUGUAUUGUUACGGGUUUGCCUGCAGGAUAGCUUUAUUUGAUCAACGCGGACGUGGUCAUCGGACCUGUGCGGGUCGGCCAUUAAAACGGGAGGAGAGUGGUCGGGGGUAGAAAGCUCAUCGGGGAAAUGCGUAUGCAAAGUCCACGUCCAUGUGCUCUUGUAGCAACAUUGACUGUUUGGACAUCUUUGGACCAUGGCACCGUGCGCCAGCGGAGGUCUAGCAGG